rnacentral:tRNA from 1 species
GGUUGUGACUCAGUGGUAGAGCACUUGCCUAGCACAUGUGAGGCACUGGGUUCGAUCCUCAGCACCA